rnacentral:rRNA from 1 species
UACGAGGGGGGCGAGCGUUGUUCGGAAUUAUUGGGCGUAAAGGGUGCGUAGGCGGUUUGGUAAGUCUUAUGUGAAAUCUACAGGCUCAACUUGUAGUCUGCAUGAGAAACUGCCGGGCUUGAGUAUGGGAGAGGUGAGUGGAAUUCCUGGUGUAGCGGUGAAAUGCGUAGAUAUCAGGAGGAACACCUGUGGCGAAAGCGGCUCACUGGACCAUAACUGACGCUGAUGCACGAAGGCCAGGGGAGCAAACGGG